rnacentral:rRNA from 1 species
GACGAACGCUGGCGGCGUGCUUAACACAUGCAAGUCGAACGGAAAGGCCCUGCUUGCAGGGUGCUCGAGUGGCGAACGGGUUAGUAACACGUGGGUGAUCUGCCCCUUACUUUGGGAUAAGCCUGGGAAACUGGGUCUAAUACUGGAUAGGACCAUGCUGUAGGUGGUGUGGUGGAAAGAUUAGUUUCGGUAAGGGAUGAGCUCGCGGCCUAUCAGCUUGUUGGUGGGGUAAUGGCCUACCAAGGCGUCGACGGGUAGCCGGCCUGAGAGGGUGGACGGCCACAUUGGGACUGAGAUACGGCCCAGACUCCUACGGGAGGCAGCAGUGGGGAAUAUUGCACAAUGGGCGCAAGCCUGAUGCAGCGACGCCGCGUGGGGGAUGACGGCCUUCGGGUUGUAAACUCCUUUCAGCCAUGACGAAGCCCUUGUGGUGACGGUAGUGGUAGAAGAAGCACCGGCUAACUACGUG